AUGGAGGCAGACCUGAAUGUGACUUCACAAUGUCCCAUCCUGAAACGCCACCGGCUGCGCCUUUUUAGACUUUUUGUCUGGGAUGUGGAAGCUGAAGGACGCUGCUUUUCCUCCAAAAGUUUAUUCCUUCUCAGGAUGUGUCAAUUUACGCCAGAGAGAAACUCCUGCUCCUGGAAAUACGGAAGCUGCAUUGAUGUCUCCCGUAUACCUUAUUCAUGGCAACAUAUGUCGGGCCGGCUUUCCCCACACAUCAACAUCGUUUUCUGGGCGCGCGUCUCUGCAGGCACCUUGCCACUCGAGUGCCACAAGUAUUUAUUAUUCAAACAACUGUGUUCCUGUAUUCUGUUUUUUGGAGCAGAGGAGGAGCAGAGGUCUGUGUUUGGUGUUUUGGACAUGCUCAGCUACCUUCUCCAUCAGUGACAGCUCCACAUCAAACCUGUCCCUGCCAGACUCUCCCCCCUCCACCCUAUUAGCCCCACAGCUAUGAGUUACAGCGGCCACCUCUGCUGUGCACACCAAAACUUCUGUUGUGCUCAGCUUCUUUGAUUAUACAGACAAUUAAAUGCAGUUGAUCAUAUUUUGGGAAUGUUUUAGUCUUGUUUUCUUGCUAGGAAAAUAAAUUAGUGCAUUAUUGCUUCA
ensembl:lncRNA